UUAAAGACAUUGUAUCAAUAUAUAUUGUUUUUAGUUUUUUCAAAAAACUGUAUAGACUUUUUAUUGCUAAUGACGUUAAGUGUUUUAAUUAUGAUUUAGUUUGACCAAAGGUUUUAACUAAGAUAUGUUUACACAGUAUAUUUGGGUUUUUUUGUUUAUUUUAACUACAAUGGUUUUUUUUUGACAUUUACAUACAGCUUCUGGAUCUAAUCUAACAAUAGAUAUGUAUGGUAACUGUUAACAGCAUACGAUCUGUUAAUACUUGUAUGUGUAUUGGAUUCUGAAACUUGGAUCUUAUUGUGUUUGAAUGUUGUGUAGAGCAAUUUCUAUGGGUAAGAGCUAUCCCACCGUGAGCGAGGAGUACCUCAAGGCUGUUGACAAAUGCAAGAGGAAACUCAGAGGACUCAUUGCUGAAAAGAAUUGCGCACCUCUUAUGCUCCGUCUUGCGUAUGUUCUCUUCAAUUAAUUUCUUGCUUUAAACAGAACAAAAGAAGCUAUCAAAUUUCUCAAUUAAUAAAAGAAAAGGAAUUUCUCCUCCAUGGGGCACAGUGUUUAAUAUGCUAAUUUGACAUAAGUGUAGGAUUAUGGCUUGAAUAAUGGCUGAAUGGUUAGUUUGAUGUUGAAAACAUGGGAUCAAAUAGUUUAGCGAAUUUUAUUUUUCAGAGAUUUGUAUAUUAAAGGGGGAAUGGUUUGACACAGUUUGGAAUAGUUGAAAUAGGAAGUGUCCUGUAAAUUGGAAUGAUGGAAGUUUUUUUUAUCCUAGAGAAGUUUUCCUAGGAAAAAAGAAAAUUUCUUUUGUGGCUCUCAAAAUAUUUUCUGUUUGUCUCAGAUGGCACUCUGCUGGUACCUAUGAUGUGUGCUCCAAAACUGGAGGUCCAUUUGGUACCAUGAGGUUCAAGGCUGAGCAAGGACAUGGAGCAAACAAUGGUAUUGACAUUGCUAUCAGACUCUUGGAGCCCAUCAAGGAGCAGUUUCCUAUCCUCUCAUAUGGUGAUUUCUAUCAAGUAUGUAUUCUUGUGUUGAUUGUUAGGUUUGGUAUUUUACGUAUUUUAUUUGCUAAAUCAAAGUGCAGAAAUGACUUGUUAUUUUUUUCUUUGUGUAGUUAGCUGGGGUUGUAGCUGUUGAAGUUACUGGAGGACCUGAUGUUCCCUUUCACCCUGGUAGAGAGGUUGGUGAGACUGUCUCUGCAGCCUUUAGCAAUUUUAUUUGACAAUUGUAAUAAAUGGUACUUUAUUCAACUUGAGGCCUUAUUAGCAAGGAAUUAAUGAGAGCCUUUAUCCAGAUUUUACACUUUUGGCAAAAAAUCUUUGCCAAUAUUCUUAGUGAAAUAUUGCCUUAUUGAUAAUGGCUAACCAAGACAUUAUGACAUGCAUAUGCUUCACUAGUGAUAAGGGUAUGUGUAAAGAACUUCCUGCAUUGAUUUCUAGUUUGAUUAUUCCUACACUCUUUUCUUCCUUUUCCUGCUCAAUUAUGAAAUACUUGGUGUUACUUGUAUCUUCAAAUGUGGCCAUGUUCAUCGCUCUUAACUAAGGAAUUCCAAGUCAUAUAUAUACCAACUAGAUGCUAAUUUAUGUUCAUUGAUAAUUGGUGGUCCAUGAGUCAGCUUGUGCACAUCAAUCCUAAUUUUCUGUUGGUUCUGUGGCUAAAAUCCAUAUUGUUUGUAUAUUUUGAUGCCUUAUGAUUCAUCAUGUUUGUGGUGGUCUGUUUGCGACUUUAUUGUGCCAAUCUUAAAAUUGUUUAUUUUGGCAAGAUCUGGACCUAACUAGAUUUCUAUCUUUAAUAUUCCAUUAACAGGACAAGACAGAGCCACCAGUUGAAGGUCGUUUGCCUGAUGCCACCAAGGGUAAGUUCAUACUUUGAGAGUUGUCUUUACAGAUUUAUACAGCACAAUUUGACUGCGAAACAGAAUGAAAAAGGAGCUUAAAAUUUAUUGUGAUUUGCCUUCCUCGAUAAUCAUCUGUCAACCUAAUGCAGGUUCUGACCACUUGAGAGAUGUGUUUGUGAAGCAAAUGGGUCUAUCUGACAAGGAUAUUGUUGCACUCUCUGGUGGACAUACCUUGGUUUGUAGCCUGCUUUUAUUCUGUUUAAACCUACUUGUCUUGAGCAGACAAGCUUCUGUUGUUAAGUAGUUAUUUCUUAUUGCAAUUUGCUCCAGGGAAGGUGCCACAAGGAACGUUCUGGUUUCGAGGGACCUUGGACUACCAAUCCCCUCAUCUUUGACAACUCAUACUUUACGUAAGACUACCAUCAGUAUGUUUAUUUUUUCAGCUCUCAAUUUUUGUGGAAUACCGUGGUACUGCAAGCUAUUAUCUGUCGAUCUUGCUUAUGGGACAUAAUUGCUAUUGCAGGGAACUUUUGAGUGGGGAGAAAGAAGGGCUUUUGCAGUUGCCUUCAGACAAGGCUCUCCUCUCUGAUCCUGCUUUCCGCCCCCUUGUUGAGAAAUAUGCUGCGGUCAGUAUAUAUAAACUGUAAAUUUGUUUCAUUUAUAGUUGAAAACACCUGCUCCAUGACUGAUAGGAGCAACUCUUUGCUUAUAUCAGGAUGAAGAUGCCUUCUUUGCCGACUAUGCUGAGGCUCACUUGAAGCUCUCUGAGUUGGGGUAAGCAUAUAGUUAAAUUGAAUAUUCAUUGAUGAAUCUGCUUAGAAGAUGUAGUCUUCUAUGUGUCUCACUUAUCAUUUGUUAUUUAAUGCCAGAUUUGCUGAAGCUUAAGCUUGUGAUAGGAAGAGUUGGAGGGCUGGCAUAACCUUGUUCAUGUUUCACUCUUGAAGAUAUUUUCUGUUUGUCUCAGAUGGCACUCUGCUGGUACCUAUGAUGUGUGCUCCAAAACUGGUUCACUCUUGAAGACAAGCUUUUGGUGGAAUUGUUGGUUUUAGUCUUCUUUUGCUCCUUAUACUAGGAUUUGUAUUUGGCAGCUGUUAUUAGACGAUGAUGCUGUCACUCUCUUCCAGCUAAAUAAGAUAAAGACUUCUAUUCCUUUUUUGUAGUUUAUCUGUGUCUGAAAGAUGGCAGCCUUAGAUUGAAACCCAAAAGCAUUAUAUUUGGUGGCCAGUCCAAUGACCAAACAAUUUACAAGAUGGUGCUAUUUACUACCGUUGGAAGCAAAUUCUUGUAAUAAUUUAGAAAGAGAAAUAGAACUUAAAUUAUCAACAUAAAAGCAGUUCAAGCCGAAUUCGUUGUACUAAGACGAGAGUUCAUUGAUAGCAGCAGGUAGCAUUUCUACGCGCGCCGUGCUAGUGCACCUGCUGAUCUUCCUACAAUCUUUGGCACAAGUAUCGAAAGAAGUUUAUUUAUUUAUUGUUCGAAUGGGCCUGUUGUGUUCACGACUUCCAAGCUAUUUCCUGCUUCCUUCCAGUACCUCGCGUAUCUCGCAAAACAAAAGAAGGUAUUAGCUCGACAAAGCUCAAUUUGACGCUACAAGUCAGUGAUGUUCAUGAAAAAUAUGUGAAACAAUUGAAAGUAAAGAAAAGAUUACCUCCAAAAUAUAAACAAAAAGAUCAUACAGUGUGAGUAAAUGUCUUGGUUGCCUUUGCAGCUGUCUUAACUUCAUAAGAGAGAAAAAGAAGGGGAAGAGUCUUCCAGGCAUAAUAUACCGACCUGUUGUCUUUAAUAAUCCUAAUGUGACAUUAAAAAAAUGAAUGUUUACAUUCCUUAUCCAUAUAAUAAACUAUAUUACUCUCCAGGCUUAACUUUUAAUAUAAUUACUUUUUAUAUACCUAAUUAUUAUUUAUGCACAGUUUUAGAAUUUUAAUGGUAUUAGUCAGUCUCCUAAUUUUACUUAACUGUAUAUUCCCACUUCCCCCAAGUUUCUGUUUCCAAAUUUCACCCCUUCACUCGCAUAUCAAAUCACACAUCACGAUUUCCUCUUCAAUCAUCCAUAUUUCUUCUUCUAAAACUAGCGAAAAUCCGUAGUCUCUCCAUUAACGCCUAUUCUCAAGCUCUUUCUUCUAAAAUCAGUCAAAACUUCAACUAUUCCUUAAAGUUUAUUCACCCAUUAACGACAAGCUUCAAAGAUUUUCAAUGAAGAAAAACAAAGCUUUCAAAAAAUCCCUAAAAAAGUUAAAGAAGCAGAUGUUCCUUCUUUCGAUUUGGGUGUUUUAUCACCACAUUCACCGAAAAAGUAUGAAAAAUCUGCUCAUGCAAAUGAAGAGAAGAAGCAUGGCUUUCCUCUCGUCAAGUUAAAGCAGAAGCUAGAACUAAACAAAAACAUGAUUUUGAUGCUGGUGAAUCUUCGAGGCAAAUCAAUUCAGCGAAAAGAAAAGGCAAAGUGAUAGAUUUUGAUGAUGAUUUUGUAGAAGAUGAAGAUGUCAUUAAACUUGCAAAGAAAGUUAAAGUGUCUCCUACUGUAAAAGCUCCAAAAAAGAGCUCCCAAUGUAAAAUCUCCUAAAAAUAUUCAACAACAUUCAUUGGUGAAAGUAAGAAUUUAGUAAUUUCAACCAAUAGUUCUUUUUGUUUGUUUUAAUUCUUAAAAAUCUUCGUAAUCUGCGUUUUUUGUUGUUUGUAGAUUAUUUAUCUAUAUUGUGAAGAUUAGUUAUAGUUUCCUGAAUCUGUUUAAACUUGUAGAUAUAUUGUUAGAAAAUUAUAGUUAUGUUCUUUUUGUUUUUAAUUGUAUUAAGUAGUUGUAGAUAUUAUAUGUGUAUAUAUAUAUAUAUAUAUAUAUAUAUAUAUAUAUAUUGUAUCAAUAUAUAUUGUUUUUAGUUUUUUCAAAAAACUGUAUAGACUUUUUAUUGCUAAUGACGUUAAGUGUUUUAAUUAUGAUUUAGUUUGACCAAAGGUUUUAACUAAGAUAUGUUUACACAGUAUAUUUGGGUUUUUUUGUUUAUUUUAACUACAAUGGUUUUUUUUUGACAUUUACAUACAGCUUCUGGAUCUAAUCUAACAAUAGAUAUGUAUGGUAACUGUUAACAGCAUACGAUCUGUUAAUACUUGUAUGUGUAUUGGAUUCUGAAACUUGGAUCUUAUUGUGUUUGAAUGUUGUGUAGAGCAAUUUCUAUGGGUAAGAGCUAUCCCACCGUGAGCGAGGAGUACCUCAAGGCUGUUGACAAAUGCAAGAGGAAACUCAGAGGACUCAUUGCUGAAAAGAAUUGCGCACCUCUUAUGCUCCGUCUUGCGUAUGUUCUCUUCAAUUAAUUUCUUGCUUUAAACAGAACAAAAGAAGCUAUCAAAUUUCUCAAUUAA
rnacentral:lncRNA from 1 species